AUUGAACGCUGGCGGCAGGCCUAACACAUGCAAGUCGAACGAGUGGCGGACGGGUGAGUAAUGUCUGGGAAACUGCCCGAUGGAGGGGGAUAACUACUGGAAACGGUAGCUAAUACCGCAUACCAUCGGAUGUGCCCAGAUGGGAUUAGCUAGUAGGGGGGGAAACGGCUCACCUAGGCGACGCUCCCUAGCUGGUCUGAGAGGAUGACCAGCAACACUGGAAAUGAGACACGGUCCAGACUCCUACGGGAGGCAGCAGUGGGGAAUAGUGCACAAUGGGCGAAAGCCUGAUGCAGCCAUGCCGCGUGUAUGAAGAAGGCCGUCGGGUUGUAAAGUACUUUCAGCGAGGAGGCGUUACUCGCAGAAGAAGCACCGGCUAACUCCGUGCCAGCAGCCGCGGUAAUGC
rnacentral:rRNA from 1 species